ACUGUCAACUCAUCCCCUGUAAAUAAGCCCUGUUUGAUUGGUAACCUUUUUUUUUUUUUUUUUUUUUUUAACUGCAAAUGAAAUUUCAUUAAGUGUGUGUAAAAAANACACUUAAAACCAAUCAAACAGGGCUUAUUUACAGGGGAUGAGUUGACAGU
rnacentral:miRNA from 1 species